rnacentral:rRNA from 1 species
GACGAAGGAUGCAAGCGUUAUCCGGAUUCAUUGGGUUUAAAGGGAGCGUAGGUGGCCUUAUAAGUCAGUGGUGAAAUCUCUGGGCUUAACCCAGAAAUUGCCAUUGGUACUGUAGGGCUUGAGUAUAGUUGCCGUUGGCGGAAUAUGACAUGUAGUGGUGAAAUACAUAGAGAUGUCAUAGAACACCGAUUGCGAAGGCAGCUGACGAAACUAUAACUGACACUGAGGCUCGAAAGUGCGGGGAUCAAACAGG